UGGGGCGCGCGGCGCGCUGAUUGGCCCCGGGCGGAAAUGGGAGGGGAGCGACCGAGGUGAUAUAAAGGGCGGCGCGGGGCGUGCCGCGGCGGGGUGGCGGCGGCCGGCAAGGUGGAGAGCAAACCAACUGCCUUACGACAGUCAUCUUCAGUUUGGUAGUGGUUUGUGACCCAAGAAAGGAUUUUCCCACUGACUGAGCUGAAGUAAGAGAGAGGGGCCUGUCCUGGAGCUUAGGGUACUGUUCCUGCCCAUGGCUCAGCAGAGGGGAAGGAAAAAAUGCUACCUGCAGUUUAACAGUUCUGUGAAUGAAAAAACUUACUUUUAAUGCACAGCUUGCAACCUGGUAGGACUCAAAACAAGGUGUGUUUUAUUAAUUCUGUUUAGUAUCACACACUGAAGUUUGAGGCACCAAUGGCAGGAGAGACUGGCACUGCUAAGACUGCAAUUCAUCCAGCAACUCACAUCUUUCUCAUGAAGUCUUGUCUGAGGAAUACUGGGGCAUGUGUCAGCAGAGAAGCUGUGGUGUUGCACUUCAACAGGAGUGUAUGUCAUUUGUGCCUCAUGUGUCUGAAAAUGGAAAGGCGGUUAGGGAACUGAGUAUUGCCAGUCACAAAGUUCAAAAAAACUUCUAGGGCUGAAAAUGCUGUUUUACAAAGGUGUGGGGUCAGGGAGUGCAAGUCUUUCUUCUGUUUUUUUGUGUUCUGGUUGAUUUGGGCCAUCUUUUAAAAUUAUUUCAACAACCAUAAGGGCCAGAAACUUACUGUUUUUUAACAUCUUUUAUGUCUCUCUCUUUUUUUUUUUUUUAGUUUGUAUUUUGAUUCUUGAAACUCUUCAUAAAGCUUGAAUUUCAUAUAGAAUAGCCCUAUUUCUUCUUAAAAUUUGAUGAUAUGCUCUCAUUUUCAUGUAUGUAUUAGCAAAGUGUAAUAUUUCUUUUAAAACUUUUAAUAUUUUCAGGCUUCCUUCCAUUUAAAAUUAUAAUUCUCUGCUAUGUCAAUUAAAUGCUACACCAAUUUUCUUGAAGUUGAGUAAUUUUUGCCUUCAGUUCUACCUCUGAAUUUCAUCAGCACCGGUUAGGGCUGUCCAUCAGCAGCACAUUACUUAAACCUGUACAAAAAAUAUCCAGCUUUUUUUCAUUAAUCUGGUAUUCCUAGAAUAUAUUUCUACAUUUCAAUUCUUCUCUUUUCACUACAAUUCAUUUUACUCAUCACUAAUGUGGUUGCAGCUCAACUCAGCUCAGUUUGCUUUGCUGGGACUACAUUCAAUCAGGAAAAAAAUUCAGGCUUGUCUCCAAUUUCUUUAUCUGGAGGAGAAAGAGCUGGUAUCAGCAUGUUCAUACCCUGAUUAACAGUUUUAAGAACAGACAAAGUAUAAACACUUGAAAUAAAUUAAUUUAUUUGCUAAGGAAAUUACCAAUCUCAUCUGCAUCUAUUUCUGAAACAGAAGAUUUGUUUGAAGUUCUUCCUUUUGGAUCUUAGCUUCCAGACAUUGUCUUCACAAAUCCCAGGUUGUAACAUCAUAAUCUCCCCUCAAGGUUCUGUUUACAUCUGAGGCUCCCCUGUAGACAGCAUUAGGUACAAAUACAUUAGAACUUAAACAUUAAGUUGUUCUCUGACAUUGAUGUGUGGACAUAGUAUUUAUCUUUAGAUGGAUAGAGAGGCCUGAAAUAUGUGACACUUAAUUCCUCUCUUUCACCUUCAUAAGGACAAAAGAAAGGGUGCUAUUAAUUAUUUUCCUAAUUUCAUAAAUAUGAUCUGGUCUCCACAAGCAUGUAAAAAGAGCUUCAUCUAAAAUUUUUCUAGUUAGCACUGGUCAAUUAGAUUGGAAGCAGAAAUCAGUGUAAAUCAAAUCAUGAUUUAACCUAGUACAGUGACUAAAGUAAUUCAGAGGCAAGAACAAAUAAGGGUGCAGGCAGAGAAGAUGUCUAGAACAUUAUAGGCAAGAUACAGAAUUUGGAGGAGGUGCAUGUCAUGAAAGGUUGUUUCAACUUGGGCUUUGCAUAAAAGAAGAAAAGCCAAAAGAGAAAACUAAAAUCCUGACAAAAAUGCAACAUUUUGAAGAGAAGGCAAAGAACAAUACAUUAACCAUAAAACAGAGAUAAAAUGUAUGGAAAUAAUUGAAGCAGCAGACUCAUGAUUCCCAAUGCAUCAAAAUAGAUACAGACUUAAGUCUGUAUUCCAACAGAAGCUAAAGCCAUGAUUAAAAUUUUGCCUGUGUUUAUGUGCUUAAUUAAUCCUAUAGUAAUUAUAGUCUCCUCCUUCAGCUUUCACUGAGCCGUAGGAUUCACUGCAUCCUGGGAAUUUAGAUUGCUCAAUACUUCGAAAUACUGCUUUUAUUUAAGUGUACCAAACCCACAGUUACAAGAUACAAUUCGUCUUUAAUGUUUUUCUAACAGUUUUUACUUGAAGGAUCUUAGUAGUACUGGGCAUUGAUCCAAUAAACAUGAACUUGUUCAAAGGUAGAAGACAGUAUAUGAGAUCCUCCCUAAUAUUUUCCUUCUUUAUUUUGCCCUGUUUAAAUAAGCAAAAAAUAGCUUUUUUUCCCCAGCAUCCAUGAAUUGUUUCACAUAUACGAUGCAGUCAAACUGUAAAAGAAAAUUGCUCUUGGAAUUUAUGCUACCAUUUCCUCCUGAUAAUGACUUUAAAAAGUAAAAUUAACAGAUUUUCUUACCAAAA